CUUAGUGCCUUCGGGAACUGUGAGACAGGUGCUGCAUGGCUGUCGUCAGCUCGUGUUGUGAAAUGUUGGGUUAAGUCCCGCAACGAGCGCAACCCUUAUCCUUUGUUGCCAGCACGUAAUGGUGGGAACUCAAAGGAGACUGCCGGUGAUAAACCGGAGGAAGGUGGGGAUGACGUCAAGUCAUCAUGGCCCUUACGAGUAGGGCUACACACGUGCUACAAUGGCGUAUACAAAGAGAAGCGAACUCGCGAGAGCCAGCGGACCUCAUAAAGUACGUCGUAGUCCGGAUCGGAGUCUGCAACUCGACUCCGUGAAGUCGGAAUCGCUAGUAAUCGUAGAUCAGAAUGCUACGGUGAAUACGUUCCCGGGCCUUGUACACACCGCCCGUCACACCAUGGGAGUGGGUUGCAAAAGAAGUAGGUAGCUUAACCUUCGGGAGGGCGCUUACCACUUUGUGAUUCAUGACUGGGGUGAAGUCGUAACAAGGUAACCGUAGGGGAACCUGCGGUUGGAUCACCUCCUUA
rnacentral:rRNA from 1 species